GACGAACGCUGGCGGCGUGCUUAACACAUGCAAGUCGAACGGAAAGGCCCUGCUUUUGUGGGGUGCUCGAGUGGCGAACGGGUGAGUAACACGUGAGUAACCUGCCCUUGACUUUGGGAUAACUUCAGGAAACUGGGGCUAAUACCGGAUAGGAGCUCCUGCUGCAUGGUGGGGGUUGGAAAGUUUCGGCGGUUGGGGAUGGACGCGCGGCUUAUCAGCUUGUUGGUGGGGUAGUGGCUUACCAAGGCUUUGACGGGUAGCCGGCCUGAGAGGGUGACCGGCCACAUUGGGACUGAGAUACGGCCCAGACUCCUACGGGAGGCAGCGGUGGGGAAUAUUGCACAAUGGGCGGAAGCCUGAUGCAGCAACGCCGCGUGCGGGAUGACGGCCUUCGGGGUGUAAACCGCUUUCGCCUGUGACGAAGCGUGAGUGACGGUAAUGGGUAAAGAAGCACCGGCUAACUACGUG
rnacentral:rRNA from 1 species